CUCAGUCUAAGCAUGAAUUUCACUUAUGCUUCAUAAAUGCCUUCUGUACAUAACCUGAAGGCAAUUGGAUACAGUAGUUUUCAUAACGUUGUCCGUGAAUCACAGUUGCACAGUGUGGAAUUUUCCACUUGAGCAUUCUGGAUUUUUGGAUUAGAGAUGUUAAAUCUAUAUGAUCUUUUUUCUAUACAGGGAAUUGAAUCCAAGGCCUUCACACUGAGCUAUAUUGUCAGUGUAACUUUAAAAAUUAACUUUUAUUUUGCAUCAGGGUCUGGCUAACUAGCCAAGUUUCCCAGGCUGGACUUGAACCUGCAGUCCUCCUUCCUCAGCCUCUCAGAGUGCUGGGAUUACAGGAGUAUGUCACCACACCUAGCUCGAAACAUGAUCAUUUAAAAAAUUAUUUUUCACCUUCCAAGCACUGUUUUAUGGUAAAUAAUUACUAUUUGGUCCUAAGUGUCCUUAUAAGCAAAUAAUUUGUACUGCGGAUGGUUUUUAUUUUCCUGACACAUUAUACAACUCUAAUCACUGAAUUCUUCCUCAUCACUGAAGCAUGUGCUCUUCUUUAUCCUCAGGCGCCGUGAAUCCUCUGAUGUUGAGGGGCCCCCUGCACUGGGUUUCAUUUGUUCUGUUCUUCAGUCUUGGCUGGCUAGGAGGCGAUGGCUUGGCUGAGACUGUCGAGAGCGGGGUCUUCCCCUUAGCCUUCACUUUCUACUGCAUCCUCAAUUUCUUCUGGUUUGGCAAUUUUCUUUUUCUUCUUUUCUUUCUUCGUUGGAGGCUCACAUUCUCCAAGCAUGUUUUUCAGACAGGCAUAACUUAAGUGCCCACUUUCCCCACAUUCAUAACACUUCAAUUUAUCAAAGUAGUUUCGCCUUCAGAUGAAUUCAGCUGCUGUCCCAUUGUCAAUAACAAUGCUUGCCUUUAUCACUCUACCAACAAAUGUUUGUUGUUUAUGGCUCUAGUGCAGUUUUGUCUAGAGUCUUUAUCCAAAAAUAAUAUAAGUGCAACCCCUUUACUCUUCCUCAUAUCUUUGUCUUUCAUUAUAGUAACCCCAGUAUAAGUCGGUGUCUGUCAGGUAGAAGGACAAGUUGGACACAUACACUGUGCUCUUACUUGGAACCAAGCCACCACUCAUUUCUUCAGGGACAGCAGACCUGGCGCAGCGGGGAUUCAACCCUGACUUUUCCUCACCCCUCACAGUGGCCUGGGCAUCCAGCGCCCAGACGGGGUUGGCGCAGAGCCCUGGGGUCGCAGCAGCAGAGGGGCCCUG
rnacentral:lncRNA from 1 species